UGGGGAAUUUUGGACAAUGGGCGCAAGCCUGAUCCAGCCAUGCCGCGUGCGGGAAGAAGGCCUUCGGGUUGUAAACCGCUUUUGUCAGGGAAGAAAUCUUCUGAGUUAAUACCUCGGGAGGAUGACGGUACCUGAAGAAUAAGCACCGGCUAACUACGUGCCAGCAGCCGCGGUAAUACGUAGGGUGCAAGCGUUAAUCGGAAUUACUGGGCGUAAAGCGUGCGCAGGCGGUUUUGUAAGACAGAGGUGAAAUCCCCGGGCUCAACCUGGGAACUGCCUUUGUGACUGCAAGGCUUGAGUGCGGCAGAGGGGGAUGGAAUUCCGCGUGUAGCAGUGAAAUGCGUAGAUAUGCGGAGGAACACCGAUGGCGAAGGCAAUCCCCUGGGCCUGCACUGACGCUCAUGCACGAAAGCGUGGGGAGCAAAACAGGAUUAGAUACCCUGGUAGUCCACGCCCUAAACGAUGUCAACUGGUUGUUGGGAAGGUUCCUCCUCAGUAACGUAGCUAACGCGUGAAGUUGACCGCCUGGGGAGUACGGCCGC
rnacentral:rRNA from 1 species